rnacentral:tRNA from 1 species
GCCCGUCUAGCUCAGUUGGUAGAGCGCAAGACUUUUAAUCUUGUGGUCGUGGGUUCGAUCCCCACGGUGGGCA